rnacentral:rRNA from 1 species
CCCUUAGAUGUUCUGGGCUGCACACGUGCUACACUGGCAGGUUCAGCGAGCUUCAUGCCCUGAUCUGAAAGGAAUGGGAAAUCUUUUCAAAACCUGCCGUGCUUGGGAUAGAUGUUUGCAAUUAUUCAUCUUCAACGAGGAUUGCCUUGUAAGCGCACGUCAUCAGCGCACAUUGAAUACGACCCUGUAUUCUGUACACACCGCCCGUCGCUCCUACCGAUUGAAGUUUUCGGUGAGUUGACAGGAGGAUUUUUUUGAAACUGGUUCGCCAGUGGAUUUUAGAUCCAAAUGCCAACGAAUCGAUGGCUUUAGAGGAAGGAGAAGUCGUAACA